GCUCCGGGAGAGUUAGGGCUCCGAGCCGAGCGCGCGGAGCAGCUGGGGCCGGGGCGCGGAUGCUGGAAGUUCACAUCCCGUCGGUGGGGCCCGAGGCCGAGGGGCCCAGGCAGAGCCCGGAGAAAAGCCACAUGCAUGCCCUCUAGAACUUUGCCAAACACCACAUGCUUGCCAUCUAGCCAGGCUGUCUUGACUGUCGUGAUGAAGAACUGGGAGCCGUUGGUGUCUUUGCCUGCGUUGGCCAUGCUCACCCAGCCAGGCCCGUAGUGCUUCAGUUUGAAGUUCUCAUCGGGGAAGCGCUCACCGUAGAUGCUCUUUCCUGGGAAAAAAGACAGAGCAGGUCAGGGGCGCUGGAUUGCGCCAAACCAAGCAGACAUUCGGGGCCAGGACUGAGGGGGCUUAACCUGUCCUCUGUGCCAGGCUAGGCUGGAGUGGACUACAAGGACAUAAAAGCAGCGUCCUUCCUAUCUUCUGGCCUCAGAGCCAAGCCAUGCUGACUGAGGCCAAGUGGGGCAUCAGGCCAGGCUGAUGUGGUGAACAGCUCACAGAAGGAUUACUUUGAGAAGAUAGUUUUGUGGCUUUUAAAUAAGGCGCAUGUUAUCAGCUCCCCUUAGCUAUGGCCCAGGCCUGCCACGGAGGGACUUUGGUGGAGGGAAGUGCCGUGCAGGAUGCAGGGGAGUCAACAGGGUCGGAACUCUCCAGAAAAGGAGGACUGCUGUGGCUGACCAGCCUGUUUUCCUAUGAGCACAAAAGACACAGGCAUAGCUGCAGAGGAGAAAGCAGCCAGAGAUGUGUGGGGAGGGGCAGAAAAGAGGGGCUGCCCCUUGGAUUCUGGAGAGUCAAAGCCUCUUAACAAGGAAUGAACAGGAAUAAAAGACAGCUGUGAGUGUG
rnacentral:lncRNA from 1 species